rnacentral:rRNA from 1 species
UCGGAUUGUAGUCUGCAACUCGACUACAUGAAGCUGGAAUCGCUAGUAAUCGCAGAUCAGAAUGCUGCGGUGAAUACGUUCCCGGGUCUUGUACACACCGCCCGUCACACCAUGGGAGUCGGAAAUGCCCGAAGCCGGUGACCAAACCAAUAAGGGAAGGAGCCGUCGAAGGCAGGUCUGAUAACUGGGGUGAAGUCGUAACAAGGUAGC